AGAAAGCUUCACCUUCUCCUGGUUCCUGGUGAACAAUUCUGUCAAUGAUGGGGAAACACCUUGUGAGCAAUGGUGGUUGACAAUCGCUCCCAGGAUAGUCGACAGACUCAUCACUUGUGCACACUGUGCCAGGCCUAAGGAUCCAUCCCAUCUGCCAAGUUAUGGGCUGUUGUACCAUCUGUAGUAUUAAGUGCUUUAGCCAAAGUAUCAAAU